rnacentral:lncRNA from 1 species
AAACUUAUCCAAUUUGCCAAACUUUGACGUCAUCUCACGCACAGAAACAUUAGCCAUUGUUCACCGUAAAUACUCUUUAAGAUUGUUGUGUAACGACGUUGUAUCUCCGGGACGUAACGAACGUGAACUUGGAUAGAGAUUGAAUCGCGCACGAGAGCACUUUCCUUAAAGAGUAUUUCGACCCUUCUCAAGCCUUGGGUUACACGAAAUCCCUUCUAGGAUAAGACAAUCAAAGUUCUCUCUUGUUCUAGGCUAAGACACAAGAGAAACAAAUAGAGCUUUUUGUGUUUUGUUUUGUGUUUUGCACUAAAGAUUAAGACAAUCUUUAGUCUCGUGAAUCUCUCUUUUCUCCUCUUCUUCUCUUUCUUUGACACAAGAGAAACAAAGUUUAUAUAUGGUUCAAAAGUUGUGACGUACGUUUGCAACCGUACGUUUAAAUAAUAACCAUAAAUUGAAUAGUUG